rnacentral:rRNA from 1 species
CGCGGGAAUCUACCCUGCCCUGCGGAAUAGCUCCGGGAAACUGGUGUUAAUACCGCAUACGCCCUUCGGGGGAAAGAUUUAUCGGGGUGGGAUGAGCCCGCGUUGGAUUAUCUAGUUGGAGGGGUAAAGGCCUACCAAGGCGACGAUCCAUAGCUGGUCUGAGAGGAUGAUCAGCCACAUUGGGACUGAGACACGGCCCAAACUCCUACGGGAGGCAGCAGUGGGGAAUAUUGGACAAUGGGCGCAAGCCUGAUCCAGCCAUGCCGCGUGAGUGAUGAAGGCCUUAGGGUUGUAAAGCUCUUUCACCGGACAAGAUAAUGACGGUAUCCGGAGAAGAAGCCCCGGCUAACUUCGUGCCAGCACCCGCGGUAAUACGAAGGGGGCUAGCGUUGUUCGGAUUUACUGGGCGUAAAGCGCACGUACGCGGACAUUUAAGUCAGGGGUGAAAUCCCAGAGCUCAACCCUGGAACUGCCUUUGAUACUGGGUAUCUUGAGUAUGGAAGAGGUAAGUGGAAUUCCGAGUGUAUAGGUGAAAUUCGUAGA